GAUGAACGCUAGCGGCAGGCUUAACACAUGCAAGUCGAGGGGCAGCGCGAUGUAGCAAUACAUUGGCGGCGACCGGCGCACGGGUGCGUAACACGUAUGGAACUUACCCUUUACUGGGAGAUAGCCCGGAGAAAUCCGGAUUAAUAUCCCAUAAUAAACGAAGUGGCAUCACUUUGUUUUGAAAGCUCCGGCGGUAAAGGAUGGCCAUGCGCACGAUUAGCUAGUAGGUGAGGUAACGGCUCACCUAGGCUACGAUCGUUAGGGGGCCUGAGAGGGUUAUCCCCCACACUGGUACUGAGACACGGACCAGACUCCUACGGGAGGCAGCAGUGAGGAAUAUUGCGCAAUGGAGGCAACUCUGACGCAGCCAUGCCGCGUGCAGGAAGAAGGCGCUACGCGUUGUAAACUGCUUUUAACCGGGAAGAAACCCUCCGACGUGUCGGAGGUUGACGGUACCGGAGGAAUAAGCACCGGCUAACUUCGUGCCAGCAGCCGCGGUAAAGUCGAA
rnacentral:rRNA from 1 species